rnacentral:rRNA from 1 species
UACAGAGGGUGCGAGCGUUGUUCGGAAUUAUUGGGCGUAAAGGGCGCGUAGGCGGUGCGGUAAGUCACCUGUGAAAUCUCCUGGCUCAACUGGGAGCUUGCAGGCGAAACUGCCGUGCUGGAGUGUGGGAGAGGUGAGUGGAAUUCCCAGUGUAGCGGUGAAAUGCGUAGAUAUUGGGAGGAACACCAGUGGCGAAGGCGGCUCACUGGACCGGUACUGACGCUGAUGCGCGAAAGCGUGGGGAGCAAACGGG